GGAUGCAGCUCAGUGGUAGAGCAUUUGUCUACCACGCCCAUGGCCCUGGGUUCAAUCCCCAGCACCA
rnacentral:tRNA from 1 species